AGCAAAAUGAGGAGGUCAUACGAUCUGAAUAUCUGAUGUUGAUACAUCCAUACAUGGUCUUCAAAGUUCUCUGAUUGUU
rnacentral:snoRNA from 1 species